GGCAGAGGGUGCAAACGUUGUUCGGAAUUACUGGGCGUAAAGCGAGUGUAGGCGGUCUACUAAGUCGGGUGUGAAAGCCCUGGGCUCAACCCAGGAAGUGCACUCGAAACUGGUGGGCUAGAGUAUCGGAGAGGUUGGUGGAAUUCUCGGUGUAGAGGUGAAAUUCGUAGAUAUCGAGAGGAACACCGGUGGCGAAGGCGGCCAACUGGACGAAUACUGACGCUGAGACUCGAAAGCGUGGGGAGCAAACAGG
rnacentral:rRNA from 1 species